GCUUAACACAUGCAAGUCGAACGAAGCACUUUUACAGAUUUCUUCGGAAUGAAGUUUUAGUGACUGAGUGGCGGACGGGUGAGUAACGCGUGGGUAACCUGCCUCACACAGGGGGAUAACAGUUGGAAACGGCUGCUAAUACCGCAUAAGCGCACAGUACCGCAUGGUACGGUGUGAAAAACUCCGGUGGUGUGAGAUGGACCCGCGUCUGAUUAGCUAGUUGGCAGGGCAACGGCCUACCAAGGCGACGAUCAGUAGCCGACCUGAGAGGGUGACCGGCCACAUUGGGACUGAGACACGGCCCAAACUCCUACGGGAGGCAGCAGUGGGGAAUAUUGCACAAUGGGGGAAACCCUGAUGCAGCGACGCCGCGUGAGCGAAGAAGUAUUUCGGUAUGUAAAGCUCUAUCAGCAGGGAAGAAGAAAUGACGGUACCUGACUAAGAAGCACCGGCUAAAUACGUGCCAGCAGCCGCGGUAAUACGUAUGGUGCAAGCGUUAUCCGGAUUUACUGGGUGUAAAGGGAGCGCAGGCGGAAGGCUAAGUCUGAUGUGAAAGCCCGGGGCUCAACCCCGGUACUGCAUUGGAAACUGGUCAUCUAGAGUGUCGGAGGGGUAAGUGGAAUUCCUAGUGUAGCGGUGAAAUGCGUAGAUAUUAGGAGGAACACCAGUGGCGAAGGCGGCUUACUGGACGAUAACUGACGCUGAGGC
rnacentral:rRNA from 1 species